GAAAAUUCAUAUUUUAACCUCUAAAUUCGCCACUGAUCAUGACACGAUGGAAGAGAGUAUAAAAAAUUGUGAUGAGGAGAAAAUGGAAUAAGUAAAUAUCAACCCUUUCUUUGUCAAACAAGAUUAUAUAUGUCCUCUCUAUGCAUGACAUAACAUUUCAACUAAUGUUUAUAAUGCAUCCAAUUUCUAUCAACCAUUCAUAAAUCUGCUCAAAGCACAAAUGUACUACGUAUAAGCUUCAUACAUACAACCUUUCUUGUUUCACGUAGGGAACAUAAUGCUUUAAAAAACCAAUCAUAAUAGCAAACCACACUCAGACAUUAUUAAUACAACUCAAAUCAUUAUUCUGGCCAUAGGCCUAAUACAUAAAACAAGGUUUUUCAUUAAGUAACUUACCAACACACACGAAAUAUAAUAAAAAUACUCAAUAAGAACUAAGUAAGGACAGGAUACUUAGCAUAUAUAAUCUUCCUUGCCUUUGAGAUUAAUAUAUUCUCUUCUUUUUUUUAAUUAAAAAACUAUAAUUCAAUUCCUAGAGCCCAUCAAUAGACUCCAAAUGCCAAAGGAAUAGAAGUUGCCCUUAAUUUUGACAAGAAAACCAUCACCAUAAACAUGGUAAUUACCUUACUAACAUGCUUAGAAAACAAGCACCAUCUUGCAGCCAUCUUUCAUUAUCUUGAGUUGACGGUUUCAGUCCUUUCUGUUUACUUUAUUUGACAGUUUCAGUCCUUUCUGUUUACGUAGGAGUUCUUCUUCGUCUUCCUCCAUCGAAAAAUCUUGACAAAAGAAAGGUUGCUAACCAAUAAAACUAGCCUAGAGGUCUUAUAAAUUGGUGAUGUUUUUAUGAAGACAAAAUAAGAGUGAGGUAAUGACUUAAGUAGGGAGAAUGUGAUGAAUUUUGGGUAAAGGAGAAGGAAAAACGAAAGUAGGAAAAAAGAGUAAAAAUGGAGGGUUGAGUUGGCAAGUUAAGAAUCUAAUAAGGGAUAUGCCAUUGGUACCUUCUCCACUGAUCUUACAUCAUAUAUGUUAUUUCUUCUAAUGGCCUCAUAUUCCUUUCCAACCUUUGAUUUUUA
rnacentral:lncRNA from 1 species